AGGGGGAGGGGGAGGAGGAGGAGGAGGGGGAGGGGGAGGGGGAGCCUCUUCAAACUUGUCUGGCUCUAUCUGGGGUGGAGGAGGAGGAGGAGGUGGUGGUGGAGGUGGAGGUGGCGGCGGCGGUGGCGGUGGCUGUUCUUCAACCGUGGGUGGUGGAUCCUCAACCUUGGGUGGAGGUGGUCUGAUCACUGUAGAGAGAGAGCAGAGAGUUCAGAAGGGAGGUGGUGAACUGGGUCCCUCACAUAAGACGUGGGGAUGGUGAGACACCUCAGUGGGUGCUUGUCCCAGAGGCGUGUGACCUGAGUGUCAAUCCUGGACACCACAUGGUAGAAACAAAAACAACUUCCAUAAAUUGUCCUGUGACCUUUAUCUUCACACGCACACAAAGUGUGAAAAAGCAGUCUUUACCAUACAGAAACCAGUGGGCUUUGAGCCCCUAGGGGCCAACUAUGGGUUGGUUCUUUUCCAAACCCUCUGAGCCAGAGAACAAGCAAGAGCCCUGAGGGUAAGGUAUGUGAACUUCUGUUUCAGCAUGCAUGUGUGCGUGUAUGCGUGUGUGUCUGUAUGUCUGUGUGUUUAGCGGUAACAUGAGGGUCUAUUUUUUGUGCUAGUUUCUUAUACUGUGAAAUACAGAUGAAACAUUCCACACA
rnacentral:lncRNA from 1 species